rnacentral:ncRNA from 2 species
CAAUGUACCUCGGGGUGCCCGACAGGGCUGAGAUGCGCAUGAUGCGAACCCGUUGAACCUGAACCGGUUAACACCGGCGGAGGGAAGGUUUGCCGGGCAUCG